AUUGAACGCUGGCGGCAUGCCUUACACAUGCAAGUCGAACGGUAACAGGUUUUCGGAUGCUGACGAGUGGCGAACGGGUGAGUAAUACAUCGGAACGUGCCUAGUAGUGGGGGAUAACUACUCGAAAGAGUGGCUAAUACCGCAUGAGAUCUACGGAUGAAAGCAGGGGAUCGCAAGACCUUGUGCUACUAGAGCGGCCGAUGGCAGAUUAGGUAGUUGGUGGGAUAAAAGCUUACCAAGCCGACGACCUGUAGCUGGUCUGAGAGGACGAUCAGCCACACUGGGACUGAGACACGGCCCAGACUCCUACGGGAGGCAGCAGUGGGGAAUUUUGGACAAUGGGCGAAAGCCUGAUCCAGCAAUGCCGCGUGCAGGAUGAAGGCCUUCGGGUUGUAAACUGCUUUUGUACGGAACGAAAAGCUCUGGGUUAAUACCCUGGGGUCAUGACGGUACCGUAAGAAUAAGCACCGGCUAACUACGUGCCAGCAGCCGCGGUAACAC
rnacentral:rRNA from 1 species